GAUGAACGCUGGCGGCGUGCCUAAUACAUGCAAGUCGAGCGAACGGACGAGAAGCUUGCUUCUCUGAUGUUAGCGGCGGACGGGUGAGUAACACGUGGAUAACCUACCUAUAAGACUGGGAUAACUUCGGGAAACCGGAGCUAAUACCGGAUAAUAUUUUGAACCGCAUGGUUCAAAAGUGAAAGACGGUCUUGCUGUCACUUAUAGAUGGAUCCGCGCUGCAUUAGCUAGUUGGUAAGGUAACGGCUUACCAAGGCAACGAUGCAUAGCCGACCUGAGAGGAUGAUCGGCUACACUGGAACUGAGACACGGUCCAGACUCCGACGGGAGGCAGCAGUAGGGAAUCUUCCGCAAUGGGCGAAAGCCUGACGGAGCAACGCCGCGUGAGGGAUGAAGGUCUUCGGAUCGUAAAACUCUGUUAUUAGGGAAGAACAUAUGUGUAAGUAACUGUGCACAUCUUGACGGUACCUAAUCAGAAAGCCACGGCUAACUACGUG
rnacentral:rRNA from 1 species